GAAUGCAAAAAGAUGAGGUGGUAAAGAACAGAAUGAAUUUACAUAUGGACAGCACCACCAUUGAUAUCGAGUUGGCCCAGCAACAGCACCAGUCCGGCCUGCAGGAGCCCCAGUCCAGGACGACCCAUCCACUCCCCUGACCCAUAACUCAUCAUACUUGAUAUCCCGAAAAAUGGGGCCUUAUGCAUGUGCUUAAAUUGUUGUCACAGAUAAGCCUAUGCAGUUUGCACAGGCUAAUAAUGGACAACAUUUUCCUCUUAAAGCAGAGCACCAGCAUUGAUAUCGAGUUGGCCCAGCAACCGCACCAGUCCCGCCUGCAGAAGCCCCAGUCCAGAAUGACCCUCCCCCUCCAUUGACUUCUAACUCCUCCCCCUUGACCUCCUGCCUAAAAAAGUCAGCAUCGUUGAAAAAAUCUGUUCUGCAGGAAAUUCUGAGCAUGAUUCUGUUCUGACAAAACGCAAUGCCCACUUUACGUUUUCCAAACAAAAGCCUGGGUAGUUUUGUUAAGCUAGAGUUCCGCGUGGGCUUGAAAGGGACAAGUGUUACAGACACGAAAAGUUAUAGCAGAAGUUAUGGUAACGCUAACAGUCAGUUGUUGCUGUUGGACAUCACAACAAAUAUCAUGAAGAAUAAAAAGUUCAAUCACUUGUUCCAAUCGUUAUGGGACAAACAGAAAUUGAACAGGAGAGAAUCAAGGAACAAUAAAAGCGUAAGCUUUCCUAGUGGUAUACGUCUGCUGUUGAUAGUUUGGACAACAGAAGGGUUACGGACUGCCCCAGAUUGUCCUCUCAGCGGCCAAAAUAUCAUAAUAGAACAGACUUUUAGCAAUGUUACUGACAAAAAAAGGCAAAAAUGACUUGGUUGUGAACACCCAGAGCGCGAUACAUCCAUUCUUACACAGAAAGGCGGUAAUAACUUGGUUGUGAAGACCCAGG